GUAAUUUAAUUCUGGUUAUUUUUUAGCUUUAGGAUGAAAUAUUGCAUGUGAAUUUUUGUGUGUUACUAACAAUUGUUCUAAUCUAAAUGGUUAAAAUUAUUGUUAAUAUUUUAUUAAUUAUUAAUAUUCGCAGUUUUUAAUUUUAAACUUAUAAUAAAAUGUUUUUUGAUUUAUUUAAUUCUAAUUUUAACUAGUUAAAAUUGUGCCAGCAACUGCGGUUAUACAAUUAGUUAUAGUUAAUUUUUUCGAUGUUAAUAUUAAUUUAAUUUUUAUUGAUUUAGCGGCUACUUUUUUGUUUUAAUAUAAGGUGAAAUUUUUAUUAUUUAUUAUUAUGUAGUUUGGUUUAUGUGUUAAUUAUAUGAAAUUCUUGGUUUAGACUAGGAUUAGAUACCCUAUUAUUGAGAAUGUAAAUUUUGUUAAUUUUGUAUUAUUAAUAGUUUUGAUCUUUAAAGUAAAAGGAUUUGACGGUAAUUAUAUCUUUUCAGAGGAACCUGUCCUGUAAUCGAUAAUCCACGUUAAAUUUUACCUUAGUUUUUGUUUGUAUAUCUCUGUUAUUUUGAAUGUUCUAUUAGGAUUUUAAUUAUUAUAAUUAUACUUUCUUAUAUUUAUUGUUAUAAAUUUAUAUCAGGUCAAGGUGCAGUUAUACUAAGGGUAGUAAGAUGGGUUACAGUAAUUUAUGAAUUUUGGAAUUAAUUUUAUUUGUAUUGAUUUAAUGAAAUAGGAUUUGAUUGUAAUAUUUUUAUUAUAUUUUAUUUAUGAUAAUUAGCUCUUUAUUAAGUACACAUCGCCCGUCGCUCUCAUUAUUAAAAUGAGAUAAGUCGUAACAAAGUAGGCCUAUCGGAAGGUGGGCCUGGAAUUAUU
rnacentral:rRNA from 1 species